GGGAAGUCAUUACUGUACUAAGGAGGAGUCUUGGUGUGGAAGGAAGCCAUUACUCCCACUCCCCACUCCCUCCCUCUUCUUGGAGAGAGAGAGACCAAGAAGAAGAAGGGGAUGGCGACGGCGCCGCCGCGUCUGCUGCGGGGCCUCAUCGCGCCGCUGCCGCUGUCGCUGGCGGACUGGCUGCCGUGCCACCAGCAGCUGCUCACCUCCGCCGCCCUCCUGCACCGCUGCUGGCUCCCCUCGCUGGCGCGCCUCCGCUGCCCCUCCUGCUCCGACGGAUUCAAGCUCUUCCUCGUCCUGCUCCUCGUCUCCGCCGCCCUCGCCGAGGUCCGCUUCGUCGCCUCCGCGUCUAUGGCGCCCACCCUCCGCCCCGGCGACCGCGCCGUCGCAGAAAAAGUGAGCUACAUGUUCCGGCGGCCGUCUGUGGGCGACAUUGUCUUCUUCAGGGUGCCCACGGCGCUGCAGAAUUGUGGCAUAAAUAAGGAUGUUGUAUUUAUUAAGAGGGUUAUUGCCACCCCUGGAGAUUUCAUCGAGGUUCGACAAGGCCAGCAUAUUGUCAACGGUGUUGCACAGAAGGAACAUUACACCGCACCCCAUGCGUCGUACACGAUGGAAGCCAUGGUCCAGAGAUACUUGUAUGCCCAAACUGCUUGGGGUCAUUACUACACAAACAAAUGACCAUACUGCUACUGCAAGAGGAGGACCAAAAGUGGCAUGGCUGCUCCGUGUUGUUGACAUCCUGAGUACCCCCAUUAUUCUUUCGAAAUGAAAUGACGGGUCUCAGAUGGUGGAUGAUCUCUCCCUCCAAUCCUAUUCUCGCUGUCUGCUCAAUUCUAUUCCCGAAUCCAUCUGGUACUAAGACUGUCCAUCAUCCUGCAGCGCCUCCCUGAAGGCCAUGUAUUCGUCAUGGGUGAUAACCGUAAUAACAGCUGUGAUUCUCGUGCCUGGGGACCUCUUCCUAUCAGCAACAUUCUUGGAAGAUACAUGAUGUCCUUCACAAGGUCGUCCCUCCAAUAGCCAAGGCGAAGAGCUUCGAUGACCACCAGCGUUGCCGAACAACCCCCUGAUGCCACUCGAUAUGAUGUUAUCGAGCUAUGUUGGGCCUCGAGCCCUUCUUAGUAUGUAGAUCCACGAGACCUUCCUAUGCAGUGUGAUUUAGCACUGUCUGUGUAGUACUUGGCAGCUGUUGUCACUCACCCCUGGACUGUCAGGUGUUAGUUAAGCCUACUACUUGUUGGUAGAACCUGCAAAAUGUGCCUAAAGGUUCACGCCUUCUAGUAACCAUAGCUGUCUGAAUCUUACCGGUAAUGUUUUACUAUUAUGUACCGCGUGCUUGACUGUCAGAAGUUUGCAAUGAAUCAUUGUGGUGGUUCCUUGCUGCAUCUAGAUAAAUCUGUAAUGUUCAUCA